GGCCUCUCAGGGUCGCACCUGGAGAGUUUCCAAUACUCUCCCAGUCUCGACUAUGGGAGGGAGAGUCAAGCAGAGGCAUAUUUAUUCCAUUUCUAGCUUGUGCAGGGGCUAGUGAGUGGAGGCAAUCUGCUACAAGU